CCUAUAUUUUUAAUAAUAAAUAUUUAUUAAAAAAAUAUUUUUAAUAAUAAAUAUUGAUUAUAUUUAUACUAAGAUUAAGAAUAUAUAAAUACAGUGUUCUUGUCCUCCAUUAACUUCCUUCAAAGUCUUAUGAUUUAUCUUCAAAAUACCUUUUUUCGACCAGCUUAAAAAUUUCCGCCAUAUUGAACAGUUUUACUUGGGUCAUUCUCGAAUUUAGUUUCCAUGUUUGUCAGGAAAUAGGACAAGUGUUUCCUGACGCGGGUCUUAGCUAUAUGAUGACCCACAGAUGGAGCUUUUGGUCAUCUGACUGAGGCCUUCCACUGGCUUACCUCUCCACCCUUUUAAAAAUUUCGAAAUGGUUCAGCAAUAUUUCCCAUUAAACAUCUAGAGAAUGCUUCUUCCGAAUGGCUUCAAACCUUAAUGGCUGAUUUAUCUUAUGAAAUGGGCGUAACCUUUCGGGUUAAUUCUUCAUUAGUGUAAAUUUCUUUGUGUGUGUGUGUGCGUGUGUGGGUGUGUGUGUGCGUGUGUGGGUGUGUGGGUGUGUGUGUGUGUGUGGGUGUGUGUGUGUGGGUGUGUGUGAGGGUGUGUGUGUGGGUGUGUGUGAGGGUGUGUGUGUGUGGGUGUUGGUGUGUGUGUGUGUGGGUGUGUGUGUGUGGGUGUGCGUCCUUGUGUGUAUGCAUAUAUUUGUACGCUCGUGUGCACAUGUCCGUGCGUGCGCCCUCGUGUGUGUAUGUGCGCGCGCGCGCUAGUGUGGGUGUAUGAUCCACUUAAUAUUUGUAUUUAUAACUCAUUACAAUUGUGACCAGGUGUGGACGUAUCAGUGGUUCAUUACUUUGUAAUUUGUUCAUGACUGUAACCAUGUAUAGGAGUGAAGCUGAUUCAUUACCUCUGUAACUUGCCAUGAUUAGUGACCAGAUCUACCUGGAGUUCAUUACCUUUGUAACUAGUUCAGCUAUCAUAACUUUGGGGUCCAGUCACUGGACCCAUUAUGUACCUUUGUAAUCUUUUGACUACCGCCCACAGGAUGGGUAUGGGGUGCAUAAUAAACAUAUUAAACUAACUAACUAAAAGGAUCAAAAGUGGUAAGCCAGUGGAAGGUCUCGGUCAGAUGACCAAAAGCUCCAGUUGUGGGUCAUCAUAUAACUAAGACCCGCAUCAGGAAACACUUGUCCUGUUUCCUGACAAACAUAAUAACAGUUAUCAUACACAGUAACGUGUAAAUUACCUCGGAUAACCCAAACAAGCCAGACAAUGUGACUUUCUUCCAUUGGUGUCCUUAGGCUCCCAUAAUAAAUGAAAUCAGGAAGCCUGGUGGAAUCUUUGCCCAAUAUAGACCUCUGGGUAAGGAUCUUGAUCCAAUGGAGCCAAACAGUAUGGUAUAUUUCCGUUCGGAAAUAUACCAUACUUUCAAAUCAAAGUCAAAAUAAUUUUUUUUGUGUGUAGUAUACAAACUGUAGUUUACAUGUAUUAACAUAUUGCUAACCACAAAGAAAGAUGUGGAAAAUUUUGUUGAUUUUCCUGUAAUUUGUGUGUAAGAACUACUGGAGAUAUAAUAAUAUUUAUAAGACAUAGUUUAAGUGUGUAGUGUUGAUGUGACUUUUAAAAGAUGUUAGGCCACAGAGGAACAAUAUCCCCUAUAAUUUACUCUUUUUUUAUGGUAAUCAGUUAAAACGUAAUUAUUAUAAUGUUAAAAAAAAAUUAAUAUUCGAAUAAUGACAAUGUAUUGCACACCUGGAAGUAUUAUUGAAUUAAAUGAGAAGAUAUAUGGAGGAGGAAUCCUGGUAAUGGCGUCGUCUGUACGUUGGUAUUAUGUGCUGUAAUUUAUCGGACAUAAUCGACACUGCUCGACAUAGUAUCAGCAUAAAUUUGGUACUCUGAAAUAGGGUAAUAUGGAGGGCAUCUGGAAUAAUACAACUGUAUAAUGCAAAUGUCAGAUUAAUGCUGAUAAUAGGGAAUGAAGCGCGGUGCCAACGGAAUGAAGUAUUGACCAUGGGAUGAAUAAUGUAAUUCUCACUAAAGGUAAUAUAACUAUUUAUUGGCGUUUGUUGUCUUGAUUUUUAUGUACAUUCACUUAUGAUAAUUGUAUUAAUUUUACGUAAUAUGACAAUGGUGUGUAUAAUCAGUUUAAAACAGUGGAUCAACAUAUUAAGAGUGUCGUAACAAGAUGUAAUAUAACCAGUGAACUGGUUUGAAAUAUUUCAUUAAAUAAUUUCAAGAACUAUACGGAGAUAAGUCACUAACUUUUUGGGGUUAUCCUUGGUUCUCUACAUAUAUGUUGCUAUGCACAAUAUGCAGAACAACCAUAGUGAAAAAAUUAGCGAAAUUCCAAGCACUUUCGUGAAUUCUCACAUUAUCAUAGUUCCUUGAUAAUGUGAGAAGUCACGAAAGCGCUUGGAAUUUCGCUAUUUUUACUCAGGUUGUUUUGUAUAUUGUGAUAUCACCUGUUUAAUGUGAUCUUAUUCCAUAUGUUGCUAUGUGUGAUAAUCUAUGUAACCAUUUGUGUAUACCUGAAUGAACUAUUUACAUGUUUAUAUCUGUACUCACCUAGUUGUGAUUGCAGGGGUCGAGCCACAGCUCCUGGCCCCCUCUUCACUGGCUGCUACUGUGUGACCCACUGUGGUUAAAGUCCCACCUGUCUCCCAGGUACAACUAUAACAUACUGGUGGGGGCCCCUGCGGUGGUCUCCAGCAGCUGGUCCCCUGAGGUGGUCCCCUCCAUCUGGAUCCACGAAGUGGUCCUCACCAGCAAGGCCCCUGAGGUGGCCCGCAUCAACUUGACAACAAACUAGACAAAGUCUAGAAGUUCGCAACAGAACUAGUCCCGGAGAGACUCAGUGUUGCGAUCCAAAGAGGGAACGCCCUCUGCCUUCCAGGCUCAGGAGCUGCAACGAGAUUUUCGUCAUAUUGGAGUUACAUUCUCAGAAACAGCUGUGAGAGGACCUGGCGCUGACCACACUACCUCUCCACCUCUGAGAAUUUCCUGCUCCAUCUACCUGGUUGAUUCAGGCCCUGAUUUACCGGGAGGCCUGAUCAGAGACCGGGCCACGGGAGAUGCGGAGAUGUUGCCAGGACCUGCCAAGGAGACACCGGGAAUCUAUGUGGACUGGAGUGAUGGAGAUGCAGAAGUGCUAGGGUCGGCCGGAAGCCCUGGCUAGCCCCUCCUCUAGUAGAAGCAGUAGACAGAUCUGGAGGUGGAGAACUGUAAACAUCGGCUCGCCGUCGGAAGAGGAUUCGUUUAUGUGAGGGAUGCGAGGUUUUUGUAGUUCCGAGAAAUAGGAUAACGAUGUGCCCUGGUUGCGAUUCCUGCCUUGUCGCGAAUUGUAGCGGAAGGGUGCAAGAAAAAUGCAGACCAGAGGCCUAGCUUCUCCCUACUAGCCCCAUGAGGGCGGGGAAUGGGGCUAGGCCUGGGGACAGUUGGUUCCAGAAGAUGAGGAGGUACUUGUACCUCCUCCCAUAGCAGACAUAGGUCUCAGAUAUUGCCAAGACAGGGAGCCAAUCUGGGUCACCAUCUGGAAAAGACCCGGGCCGGGAGAGUACCGGCGAAUCAAGAAGAAUAAGAAGAAUAAAGAAGGUUAGAGAUAGAGAGAGAGAGAUUGGGGCAGAAUUAAUGGCUGUGCUAGGCCGGUGAGCGGAAACCCUGGACAGCCGAGUGUGUAGGGGCCACGCAGGGCGAAUCUCGGGCUGGUGAAUUAAGUGUGAGUAUAAGUCCAUGUUACUGAUAGCAUCUCUCCACCUCCCCCUGGUAGUAACUCUCAGAGGUUGAUUAUUAU